rnacentral:lncRNA from 1 species
CACUAGCUCCAGUCCUGGAGGGCACACGGCCCAGCCCCGGACAGCCUUUUGCCUUGCAGGAACGCAGACCCAGUGAUGCCAGGUCUAAAUUUUCAAGAAAAGCUAGAAAUCCAGAUUAUGUAGAGAUUCAAUAUUUAAAAGUUGGGAACUUUUUUUUUUAAGUCAAUUGCUGGAGCACCAGUUUGCUGUCUCUGAAUUAAUGUGAUUUUAAGCAUUUCUCGUAGUGACCUGUUGAAGCAUUGUGUCUGAGUGCAGAGACGGAACUCUUGAAGAACGGAAGAGAUUUCAGAGAAAAGUGACAAAUUAAAUGAUACGUCUUGUGGCAAAGUGACCAGCACACAGUAAUCAUUCAGUUCGUGUUUGUUUAUGAAAAAUCACUUAAAAACGAAAAGACGAGGAGGAGGAAGGAGCCAAGAGCUGGCCGCCACCGUCUUCAGUCACAUUGUGAGUGUUCAGGCCAGCUGCCUGCUUUUGUGCUGGGAAUGAGUUCUUAUUAAACCAAGGCAGCGUUUAGGCCUAAGAUCGACUUGGUCUUCCAGCUGAAGAAAACUGGGAGCUCCAAGUCUCUGACCUGGUUGUUGGUUGCCCAAAGCUAGGUCUGACACCUAGUAGGCACUCAGUAAACAUCUGUGGGAUGACUGAGAACAUAGCCACCUUCACGGGUUUACUUGCCCAACGAUGGUGCGAUGGGCCCUGCACACCACGCACUGAAAUGAUAAGUCAGCGUUUUCAAAUGUUUACUGGUUAUGUGUAGCCAUGUGAAAGAAUCACAGGGCAGAUCAUAAGGAACGUUUUCUCUGUGCGUGCAGGGUCACCUGGAAAGCAGAAUCCUAUCAAUGGAAUUGUAUUGUUCCCUUGCUUUCAACAUUGUGGCCAUCUACUCAUCCUGUCUCCAGGAAUUGCUUAGCUGUAUUUCUCGCAGUAGGUAUGUUAUUGUUGGGCUGGCCUGGGGGAACCUGGGAGUGACAAAGCCAAAGACUUGAUCUGUCGUGAGGCAAGCUUUAGGAACAGCGUGAAGCUGGCUUUCUGGUGAGAUCUCAGAGAGGACAACUUAAGCUCCCUCCACCCUUCACCCCCUUUCAGAUCCAACGGACCUUUCCGUUCUCAGGGGCUGUUUGUCCUCCCAAACACCCUGCAGCUCUGGGUUUGGGAGGGGAUACUCUUAAGACAUCAUGGCCUUUGGAUCUUGAUGGAGACCAUCCCACUGGGGUCACUAGUCUACAGGAUGGCAGGAAAGAGCAUGAGCUUUGGGGCCCGGCAGACCCAGCUUGGGAUUGGAGCUCUGCCACCUAAUUGAGAAGGGCAUUCCCUGCCCUGAACCUGAGCUGCUUCGUCUAGGAAGUGGAGACAGUAGUUUAAGAUCACUGUAAGGAUUAAAUGACAUAAUCUAAAGAGCCCAGCACAGUGCCUGGUAUAUAGUAGGACUCCAGUGCAGCUCUUCUUGCUAGCUUCACCUGUGGCAUUUGAACAGACAGUACGGAAUGUCCCGAGCAGAGAAAGGGGUGAGGGCUAGGCUUCGGGGUGCUGUGAGAUGAGACAGAGUUCAAUGUGCUCAGGCAGCCUGGGGCCUGUCUGGGCCUCGGGAGGGGAAGUCCCAGAGCUGACACUUGGAAGAAUGCUGACAGCCCCCAGUGAGGACUCCAGUUCGUAACCAGGGCCUGGGCUGUUCAGUGGGUGAAACAGGGAGAGGGCCCUAGUGACGGCGUUUACACCAAGUUCUGUUUGUUGAUUUUGUUAAGAAGAAUUCAGCUUUGAAGGCAGUACACCGAUCAUAUCUCCAGAAGUGGUUCUGGAGAGAACGAGACCUACCAGCAUUCUCAGCCGACUGUAGGUCUCCGCAGGGGACAGGGGGACAGGGAAUUCCGUGUCCUCAGUGUGUGUAGCUGCUGGGGCUGCGGGUGGUGGGUGGGUGAUGCAGGGAGAAAGGUGGUGAACACCAGCUACAGCGACAAGAAGAAGAAAAUAACCGCCGUUUAGUGAGUGCCAGGCCUGCUGGGAGGGCUGUCCACAUGCUCCCACCCUCACAAUAAGCCCUGUGGUAUAUAUUACCGUUUCACAGCUGAAGAAACUGAGGCUCAGGGCUGCCUUGCUAGCCAGCAGCUGGGCUUAGCUUUGAUUCCAGUCUGCCUUGGCUACCACGGCUGACCUCUUGCCACGCCACCGUUGCCUCUCUCUCUCCAUGCUCCAUGGGCACCGCGAUGCCAGCAGUCUCCCUGAGGAGCCAGGCCUCGGGCUGUGCAGGCCCCUUGCAUUAAGAGACCCUCUGCAUAUCUUCUUUCCCUCCCACUGAUGGGGCUGUCAUGGAAAGCAGACCCCGUCCCUGCUCUCAGGAAGCUUCCUUUCCAGAAGUCGACAAUGUGACUGCAUGAACUCACAGGAUAAAUUAGAUUGUGGUAAGUGCUGUGACAAGAUGACACUGGGCAGUGGGUUGCAGCGGCCUGGGGGACAUUUGAGCCAAGACCUCAGUGGUCAGCAGGAGCCAGCCACGCAGUGUUCCAGGCUGAGGGACGGAGAUGCCAAGGCCUUUAGGGAAGGCCCGUGGACCCAAGUGGCUGGAGGGGCGCUUGGCCUCCACGAUGCGGGCAGGAGGCGCGGGGAGAGGCCGUGGAAGGCGAUGCGUUUGGGUUUGGACGUCGCAGGUGCCCGAGAGACAUUCAAGUGGAGCUGACUUGGGCUGUCUAGAAGAGAGGCGACGGGUGGCUCCGAAGGAAGAGGCCUGACACCGAGUCCGGAAGAACGUCGCAUCGAGGCAGAGGGCGCAGGACGAGCCAGCGACAAAGGCGGGGGCGGAGCAGCGGAGGGGUAGGCGCGAGGCAACGGCAGCCUUGGCCGCGCGGGCCACGCUCAGAACUUGGCAAGCCCUCUUUCCCAAACACUCGCCCCCAGCCGCCCCGGCCUCCCGGCGAACAACGCCUGUGCCUAAUCGCGCCGGGGACACCUAAUCCCGCCGCGCGCCGCUCCAGCCCGCGCCGCGCUCCCGAGGGCAGGGGCUCCAAGGGCGAGGGCUCCU